AGAGUUUGAUUAUGGCUCAGGAUGAACGCUAGCGGCAGGCUUAACACAUGCAAGUCGAGGGGCAGCGGGAUGUAGCAAUACAUUGCCGGCGACCGGCGGAUGGGUGCGUAACGCGUAUGCAACCUACCUUAUACAGGGGAAUAACCUUUCGAAAGGGAGACUAACACCCCAUAGUAUUGAUUUAAGGCAUCUUAGAUUAAUUAAAUAUUUAUAGGUAUAAGAUGGGCAUGCGUAUGAUUAGCUAGUUGGUAAGGUAACGGCUUACCAAGGCGACGAUCAUUAGGGGUUCUGAGAGGAAGGUCCCCACACUGGUACUGAGACACGGACCAGACUCCUACGGGAGGCAGCAGUGAGGAAUAUUGGUCAAUGGGCGCAAGCCUGAACCAGCCAUGCCGCGUGCCAGGAAGACGGCCUUAUGGGUUGUAAACUGCUUUUACAUAAGACUAACCGUAUAUUUGCGAAUAUACCUGAAUGUAUUAUGAGAAUAAGGAUCGGCUAACUCCGUGCCAGCCGCUGC
rnacentral:rRNA from 1 species